rnacentral:rRNA from 1 species
UACAAGACCACUACGUGUGGAAAAUGUAAUAACGUAAGGGAAAAAAAUGAUAUUACCUUACUAUUAGUGUUGUCCAAAUAUUGGUGCCAGAAGACUCGGUAAGGCCAGAAACGCAAACGUUAGUCGUCCUAAUCAGGCGUAAAGGGUAUGUAGGCUGCUUUAAAAAUUUUUAUUUUUAGCUAAUGGAUAAAAAUUUAAAAUAUUAAUUAAUAAGUUUAAAAAAUUAUCUAUAAAUAUAAAAAAAUUAGAGCUAGAAUCAAACUGAGGAUAAGUCAAAUAAUACCUAGUGUAGGGUUUAAAUCUGUUGAUGUUAGGUGGAAUACUAAGGGUGAAAGCUUUUUAUCUAGAAAUGAUUGACGCUGAGAAACGAAGGUGAGAAUAGGAAAUAGGAUUANAUACCCAGAUACCUCUCACAGUCAACGAUGAAUGGUGGUUGUUAGUUAGUUUUAUUUAACUGAUAACGAUGUUAACACGAUAACCAUUCCGCCUUGCGAGUACGGNUGCAAAACUGAAACCAAAAAAAUUAGUCGGUCUCGAAGCAAACGAAGUGAAGCAUGUUAUUU